rfam:Schistosoma mansoni, Puerto Rico, WGS project CABG01000000 data, contig: 0105
ACCAAGGAGUUUAACAUGUGCACGAGUCAUCGGGUGUUACGAAACCCAAAGGCGAAGUGAAGGUGAAGGUUCGGCUUUUCCGGACUAAGGUGAGAUCCUGUUGUCUUGCUCAUACUUUCCAAGUUGCGAGCAGCGGGCGCAUCACCGGCCCGUCCCAUGACGUAGACAUGUGACCUCGUGUUGUGUACACCGUCGGGGCGGAGCAAGAGCGUACACGUUGAGACCCGAAAGAUGGUGAACUAUGCUUAUGAAGGUUGAAGCCAGAAGAAACUCUGGUGGAGGACCUUAGCGAUUCUGACGUGCAAAUCGAUCGUAUAACGUGAGUAUAGGGGCGAAAGACUAAUCGAACUAUCUAGUAGCUGGUUCCCUCCGAAGUUUCCCUCAGGAUAGCUGGCAUUCUGAGAAAUAAACAGUUUUAUCCGGUAAAGCGAAUGAUUAGAGGCAUUGGGGAGGAAUCAUCCUCAACCUAUUCUCAAACUUUAAAUGGGUGAGAAGCUUAACUCGCUUGAUUGGAGUUUUGCAUUGAAUGUGAGUGCCAAGUGGGCCAUUUUUGGUAAGCAGAACUGGCGCUGUGGGAUGAACCAAACGUUCGGUUAAGGUGCCUAACACGACGCUCAUGAGAUACCACAAAAGGUGUUGGUUGGUCUAGACAGCAGGACGGUGGCCAUGGAAGUCGGAAGCCGCUAAGGAGUGUGUAACAACUCACCUGCCGAAUCAACCAGCCCUGAAAAUGGAUGGCGCUCGAGCGUUGGACCUAUACCGGACCGUUGCUGUAAGCUAGGCCUAUGCUGUGUGAGGGCAAGCUGCACUUGGUCUAGGCAUGGAGUGACGGCAACGAGUAGGAGGGUCGCUGUGGCUAGCGGGAAGCCUCAGGCGUGAGCCUAGGUGAAGCAACCACAGGCGCAGAUCUUGGU